rnacentral:ribozyme from 11 species
CAAAAAACAAAUACGUAAAACACGAAAGAACAAAAAACCAAACAAGAAAAACCUGGUCCAAACAUGGGAUGUCCCACAGCACCCAAAUAAUAUUCGCGUUUCCCCUCAUCACUCCAAUCAUCCAAGCCGUAUAGCCAUUUUUGCUUCUUUUUCCCUUGU